rnacentral:rRNA from 1 species
AGAACGAACGCUGGCGGCAUGCCUAACACAUGCAAGUCGAACGCUUCACCGGUUUCGGCCGGUGGGGAGUGGCGCACGGGUGAGUAACACGUGAAUUAUCUACCUCCGAGUGGGGAAUAACUGAGAGAAAUCUUAGCUAAUACCGCAUAACACUUACGAGUCAAAGCAGCAAUGCGCUUGGAGAGGAGUUCGCGGCCGAUUAGUUAGUUGGCGGGGUAAUGGCCCACCAAGACGAUGAUCGGUAUCCGGCCUGAGAGGGCGCACGGACACACUGGAACUGAAACACGGUCCAGACUCCUACGGGAGGCAGCAGUGGGGAAUUUUGCGCAAUGGGGGAAACCCUGACGCAGCAACGCCGCGUGGAGGAUGAAAUAUCUUGGUAUGUAAACUCCUUUCGAUGGGGAAGAUUAUGACGGUACCCAUAGAAGAAGCCCCGGCUAACUUCGUGCCAGCAGCCGC